rnacentral:rRNA from 1 species
UACGGAGGGUGCGAGCGUUGUCCGGAAUCAUUGGGCGUAAAGGGCGCGUAGGUGGCCUGCUAAGCGUGCGGUGAAAGUCGGGGGCUCAACCCCCGAUCGGCCGUGCGAACUGGGAGGCUUGAGCACUGUAGAGGCAGGCGGAAUUCCGGGUGUAGCGGUGGAAUGCGUAGAGAGUCCGGAAGAACACCGGUGGCGAAGGCGGCCUGCUGGGCAGUUUUGCUGACACUGAGGCGCGACAGCGUGGGGAGCAAACAGG